rnacentral:rRNA from 1 species
AUGAAGGUGGAUUGAGAAGUCUGCUGGACAUAUCACAAGUGCGAAUGCUGACAUGAGUAACGAUAAUGGGGGUGAAAAACCCCCACGCCGGAAGACCAAGGUUUCCUGCGCAACGCUAAUCGGCGCAGGGUGAGUCGGCCCCUAAGGCGAGACCGAAAGGUGUAGUCGAUGGGAAACGGGUUAAUAUUCCCGUACCUUGGAUAGCUGCGAUGGAGAGACGGAGAAGGCUAGGUGAGCCGGGCGACGGUUGUCCCGGUUUAAGCGAGUAGGGAGUGGACUUAGGCAAAUCCGGGUCCACAAUUCUGAGACGCGACGACGAGUGCCCAAGGGCGCGAAGUCAUUGAUGCCCUGCUUCCAGGAAAAUCUUCUAAGCUUCAGGCUAUUCGAGACCGUACCCCAAACCGACACAGGUGGUCAGGUAGAGAAUACCAAGGCGCUUGAGAGAACUCGGGUAAAGG